rnacentral:misc_RNA from 1 species
GAUGAAGAACGUAGCGAAAUGCGAUAAGUAAUGUGAAUUGCAGAAUUCAGUGAAUCAUCGAAUCUUUGAACGCACAUUGCGCCCGCUAGUAUUCUGGCGGGCAUGCCUGUCCGAGCGUCAUUUCAACCCUCAAGCCCCCGGGCUUGGUGUUGGGGAUCGGCGAGCCUCCGCGCCCGCCGUCCCCUAAAUCUAGUGGCGGUCUCGCUGUAGCUUCCUCUGCGUAGUAGCACACCUCGCACUGGGAAACAGCGCGGCCCCGCCGUUAAACCCACAACUUCUGAACGUUUGACCUCGGAUCAGGUAGGAAUACCCGCUGAACUUAAGCAUAUCAAUAAGCGGAGGA